rnacentral:lncRNA from 1 species
GUGAGUUAGAAGAGCUGUGCACAAUCCAACAAACACCACAGAAGCUAGGGAAGGAAGUAUAAGACAUUAACACAGUAAGGUGACCUGCUAUCAGGUAAUAACAGCAUACAGUUGAUGGCCACAGCAAUGCCUGGAGCAAAUGAAUGGGCUGAGAGGAUGCGAGGCAUGGUUUCAUCUUGACUGCUAAAGACGGCCUAUUGGAAGUAACCGCUAAGGGGACUGUCAUGAGCAUUCUGAGGCUGAGGACCCACAGGUUGGAAUUUGAUUAGCCUUGAGCUAACUACUGCCAAUCCUCCUCUUUUUGCUGAGGAAUACUGGCCCUGAGCUAACAUCCAUGCCCAUCUUCCUCUACUUUAUAUAUGGGACGCCUACUACAGCAUGGCUUUUGCCAAGCGGUGCUGCCACGUCCGUACACGGGAUCUG